GACGAACGCUGGCGGCGUGCCUAAUACAUGCAAGUCGAACGCUGAAGAGAGGAGCUUGCUCUUCUUGGGUGAGUUGCGAACGGGUGAGUAACGCGUAGGUAACCUGCCUUGUAGCGGGGGAUAACUAUUGGAAACGAUAGCUAAUACCGCAUAACAAUGGCUGACACAUGUCGUUUAUUUGAAAGGGGCACUUGCUCCACUACAAGAUGGACCUGCGUUGUAUUAGCUAGUAGGUGAGGUAAUGGCUCACCUAGGAGACGAUACAUUGCCGACCUGAGAGGGGGAUCGGCCGCACUGGGAAGGGGACAAGGCCCAGACCUCUGAGGGAGGCAGCAGUAGGGAAUCUUCGGCAAUGGGGGGAACCCUGACCGAGGCACGCCGCGUGAGCGUAGAAGGGUUUCGGAUCGUAAAGCUCGGUUGUAAGUCAAGAGCGGGUUUGAGAGUGGAAAGUUCACACUGUGACGGUAGCUUACCAGAAAGCGACGGCUAACUACGUG
rnacentral:rRNA from 1 species